GAUGAACGCUGGCGGCGCGCCUAACACAUGCAAGUCGAACGGGAACACCCGUAGCAAUAUGGGUGUUUUAGUGGCGGACGGGUGAGUAACGCGUGAGGAACCUGCCUUUCGGAGGGGAAUAACACAUCGAAAGAUGUGCUAAUACCGCAUAAUGUCAUCGGGCGGCAUCGCCUGAUGACCAAAAGAGCAAUCUGCCGAAAGAUGGCCUCGCGUCCGAUUAGAUAGUUGGUGGGGUAACGGCCCACCAAGUCUGCGAUCGGUAGCCGGACUGAGAGGUUGAACGGCCACAUUGGGACUGAGACACGGCCCAGACUCCUACGGGAGGCAGCAGUGGGGGAUAUUAGUCAAUGGAGGGAACUCUGAUGCAGCGACGCCGCGUGAGUGAAGAAGGUCUUCGGAUCGUAAAACUCUGUCCUUGGUGAAGAAAAGGACGGUAGCCAAGGAGGAAGCCCCGGCUAACUACGUGCCAGCAGCCGCGGUAACUAGUCUACG
rnacentral:rRNA from 1 species